GUGAAUCAUCGAAUCUUUGAACGCACAUUGCGCCCUUUAGUAUUCUGAAGGGCAUGCCUGUCCGAGCGUCAUUAUCAACCGUCAAGCUUGGCUUGCCGUUGGACCCUGUCGACGCCAGUUGCUGGCGACGGCAGGUCCUCAAGGUAACGGCGGUGUCGCGUUGGACCCCAGAUACAACGAGCCGUGUGCGGCACGUAUCUCGGUGGUCCGCCGGCCCAGCCUCGAAAUCUUACAUCUCAAGGUUGACCUCGGAUCAGGUAGGAGUACCCGCUGAACUUAAGCAUAUCAAUAAGCGGAGGA
rnacentral:misc_RNA from 1 species